AACAGACCAGUAGACACAAAACAGCCUACAGUCCGACCGGUCCCUGGUUUGUUCUACACAGCGUUAAACUUUUGUGUUCGCGAUGCAGAAGUUCUUUGCUUUGUUGCUCGGACUGGGCAUGAUUGUAGGCAUCGUCAUGCUUGUUAUGGGUUAUAUCUAAACCUCUACAGCAGCACAAGUGGAAGAAGCGAAGAGCUGUAUGAUGGAACUCUGUCUUGAGGGAAAACUUGACAAGGACAUUGACAAAAUAGGUAAAAAUGGCAAUGAACUGAUGACGUGAGCGGAUCAACCUAGAAGACCAAACAGACUCAUCCUGCAUUAUUCACCCAAGCGACACAAACAACUGUUAGGCGAUCAGGGGAGAUGCAGAACAGCACUUACGCAAUCUCCAAGCAUCUCUCUGUUAGGAAAGACGUUAGCCAUCCCGGUUGAAUCCCAUCCUGUUACAAUAAGCCGAAGUGUGUUCUCACUCAAGGAUAAGGAAGCUGAUAUUUAGUUAGUAGUACUAUGUUUUAUAGAUUUGUCAUUAACUACAGACAAUUAGAGGUGAUGAUUGCAAAGAUUUUUAAUACUAUUAAUAUAAUAAUAUCAAAUAUUGCAUUUUCAAGAUGUAACAUGAAAACAUACAGCAUUAACAUGUCAUACACGAGCCAGUAGAUUGAGUCUGUAGAGGAUAUUCGCACGAAACUGAUCUGACUAGCAUGUGAACUGUGUCUAGAUCUCAGUCUUAAUUGUAAUAUUUGAAGACUAGCUACCAUACCCACGAUUGCAUUCUUAUUGUCGUUAUCCACACCCAACCAGUGUGUAUAUAUGCCACAACGCUACAAAACAAUAAACUUUGUUGUUUGCACAUUUUCAAUACCAUAUUUCUUGUUGAUGAUUGAGUAGCUAUAAUAAGCUUCUGCUUCUGAUCAUUUCACCAUCUGGUCUUCCGUGCCUCACGUCGCCAAAGUGACAGAUUCAGCUUCCGGUGGUGCUUCUUCGUCUUCUUCCUUCUUGAUUCUUUCUUUCUUCCACUCUUGAUUUCAGCAAAUGCUGGUAACGUUACAGACGUCAGGCUCCUCAUAUGGCUGAAGAAUGACCGGUGGUGGCUCUCG